UACGUAGGUGGCGAGCGUUGUCCGGAUUUACUGGGCGUAAAGAGCGCGCAGGCGGUCGUUCAAGUCGCGUGUGAAAGCCCCCGGCUCAACUGGGGAGGGUCACGCGAUACUGAUCGACUCGAAGGCAGGAGAGGGAAGUGGAAUUCCCGGUGUAGUGGUGAAAUGCGUAGAUAUCGGGAGGAACACCAGUGGCGAAGGCGACUUCCUGGCCUGUUCUUGACGCUGAGGUGCGAAAGCGUGGGGAGCAAACAGG
rnacentral:rRNA from 1 species